rnacentral:rRNA from 1 species
UUAUUUUUUUGUACGGUUGUUAGAUAAAAAUUUAUUUUUUUUUCUCAAAAAAUAAAAUAUUUUUAAUUCAGAUCAAUGUGAAGAUAAUAAAAAGGAUUAUAUGAGUUACAAAAAUUAGAAAAAUUAAUUUCAUAAAUUUUUAAAAAUGGAUGUGAAACGUAAAAAUUUAAUAAAAAUAAAUUUUGGAUUAUUCCUAGAAAAAGUACAUAUCGCCCGUCACUCUUAUAAAUUAGAUAAGUCGUAACAAAGUAGAAAUACUGGAAA